rnacentral:rRNA from 1 species
GCCCGCACAAGCGGUGGAGCAUGUGGUUUAAUUCGAUGCAACGCGAAGAACCUUACCAUCCCUUGACAUGUAGAGAAGUUUCCAGAGAUGGAAUCGUGCCUUCGGGAACUCUAACACAGGUGCUGCAUGGCUGUCGUCAGCUCGUGUCGUGAGAUGUUGGGUUAAGUCCCGCAACGAGCGCAACCCUUAUCUUUAGUUGCUACCAUUUAGUUGAGAACUCUAAAGAGACUGCCGGUGAUAAACCGGAGGAAGGUGGUGACGACGUCAAGUCAUCAUGGCCCUUAUGGGAUGGGCUACACACGUGCUACAAUGGGGGGUACAAAGAGCAGCCAACUGGCAACAGUGCGCGAAUCUCAAAAAACCUCUCGUAGUCCGGAUCGGAGUCUGCAACUCGACUCCGUGAAGUCGGAAUCGCUAGUAAUCGCGGAUCAGAAUGCCGCGGUGAAUACGUUCCCGGGCCUUGUACACACCGCCCGUCACACCAUGGGAGUGGAUUGCAAAAGAAGUAGGUAGCCUAACCUUCGGGAGGGCGCUUACCACUUUGUGGUUCAUGACUGGGGUGAAGUCGUAACAAGGUAGCCG